UUGACCUCGGAUCAGGUAGGGAUACCCGCUGAACUUAAGCAUAUCAAUAAGCGGGAGGA
rnacentral:rRNA from 6 species